GACGAACGCUGGCGGCGUGCCUAAUACAUGCAAGUAGGACGCAGUUGCGAACGGGUGAGUAACGCGUAGGUAACUACCUAUUAGAGGGGGAUAACUAUUGGAAACGAUAGCUAAUACCGCAUACUAGUAGAUGGACCUGCGUUGUAUUAGCUAGUAGGUAGGGUAAUGGCCUACCUAGGCAACGAUACAUAGCCGACCUGAGGAGGUGAUCGGCCACACUGGGACAGAGACACCGGCCAGACUCCUUCGGGAGGGAGCAGUAGGGAAGUUUCGGGCAUUGGGGGAACCCUGAACGAGCAACGGCGCGUGAGUGAAGAAGGUUUUCGGAUCGUAAAGCUCUGUUGUUAAGGAAGCGGUACUUAACCAGAAAGGGACGGCUAACUACGUGCCAGCAGCCGCGGUAAUUC
rnacentral:rRNA from 1 species